GUGUCAGCAGCCGCGGUAAUACGGAGGGUGCAAGCGUUAUCCGGAUUCACUGGGUUUAAAGGGUGUGUAGGCGGGUAUUUAAGUCAGUGGUGAAAUCUCCGAGCUCAACUCGGAAACUGCCAUUGAUACUAUUUAUCUUGAAUAUCGUUGAGGUAGGCGGAAUAUGUCAUGUAGCGGUGAAAUGCUUAGAGAUGACAUAGAACACCGAUUGCGAAGGCAGCUUACUAAACGAUCAUUGACGCUGAGGCACGAAAGCGUGGGGAUCAAACAGGAUUAGAAACCCGCGUAGUCC
rnacentral:rRNA from 1 species